AUUGAACGCUGGCGGCAGGCCUAACACAUGCAAGUCGAGCGGAUGAAGGGAGCUUGCUCCUGGAUUCAGCGGCGGACGGGUGAGUAAUGCCUAGGAAUCUGCCUGGUAGUGGGGGAUAACGUCCGGAAACGGGCGCUAAUACCGCAUACGUCCUGAGGGAGAAAGUGGGGGAUCUUCGGACCUCACGCUAUCAGAUGAGCCUAGGUCGGAUUAGCUAGUUGGUGGGGUAAAGGCCUACCAAGGCGACGAUCCGUAACUGGUCUGAGAGGAUGAUCAGUCACACUGGAACUGAGACACGGUCCAGACUCCUACGGGAGGUAGCAGUGGGGAGUAUUGGACAAUGGGCGAAAGCCUGAUCCAGCCAUGCCGCGUGUGUGAAGAAGGUCUUCGGAUUGUAAAGCACUUUAAGUUGGGAGGAAGGGCAGUAAGUUAAUACCUUGCUGUUUUGACGUUACCAACAGAAUAAGCACCGGCUAACUUCGUG
rnacentral:rRNA from 1 species